rnacentral:rRNA from 1 species
UAAGGAGGAUGCGAGCGUUAUCCGGAUUUACUGGGUGUAAAGGGAGCGUAGGCGGCGAUGCAAGUCAGAAGUGAAAGCCCGGGGCUCAACUCCGGGACUGCUUUUGAAACUGUGUUGCUAGAUUGCAGGAGAGGUAAGUGGAAUUCCUAGUGUAGCGGUGAAAUGCGUAGAUAUUAGGAGGAACACCAGUGGCGAAGGCGGCUUGCUGGACUGUAAAUGACGCUGAGGCUCGAAAGUGUGGGGAGCAAACAGG